rnacentral:rRNA from 1 species
ACUCAAAUGAAUAGACGGGGCCCCGCACAAGCGGCGGAGCAUGCGGAUUAAUUCGAUGCAACGCGAAGAACCUUACCUGGGUUUGACAUAUGCCGGAAACAUCCAGAGAUGGAUGCCCCUUUUUGGUCGGUUUACAGGUGGUGCAUGGCUGUCGUCAGCUCGUGUCGUGAGAUGUUGGGUUAAGUCCCGCAACGAGCGCAACCCUCGUCCUAUGUUGCCAGCGGGUAAUGCCGGGGACUCAUAGGAGACCGCCGGGGUCAACUCGGAGGAAGGUGGGGAUGACGUCAAGUCAUCAUGCCCCUUAUGUCCAGGGCUUCACGCAUGCUACAAUGGCCGGUACAAAGAGCUGCGAGCCUGUAAGGGUGAGCGAAUCUCAAAAAGCCGGUCUCAGUUCGGAUUGGGGUCUGCAACUCGACCCCAUGAAGUCGGAGUCGCUAGUAAUCGCAGAUCAGCAACGCUGCGGUGAAUACGUUCCCGGGGCUUGCACACACCGCCCGU